rnacentral:rRNA from 1 species
AGUGAACGCUGGCGGCAGGCCUAAUACAUGCAAGUCGAACGGUGAACGAGGGAGCUUGCUCCCUCCGGAUCAGUGGCGAACGGGUGAGUAACACGUGAGCAAUCUGCCCCGAACUCUGGGAUAAGCGCUGGAAACGGCGUCUAAUACCGGAUACGACGCGCGAAGGCAUCUUCUGCGCGUGGAAAGAAUUUCGGUUCGGGAUGAGCUCGCGGCCUAUCAGCUAGUUGGUGAGGUAACGGCUCACCAAGGCGACGACGGGUAGCCGGCCUGAGAGGGUGACCGGCCACACUGGGACUGAGACACGGCCCAGACUCCUACGGGAGGCAGCAGUGGGGAAUAAUGCACAAUGGGCGCAAGCCUGAUGCAGCAACGCCGCGUGAGGGACGACGGCCUUCGGGUUGUAAACCUCUUUUAGUAGGGAAGAAGCGAAAGUGACGGUACCUGCAGAAAAAGCACCGGCUAACUACGUGCCAGCCGCCGCGGUAAAAC